rnacentral:rRNA from 1 species
AGGAAAAGAAAUCAACCGAGAUUCCCCCAGUAGCGGCGAGCGAACGGGGAGGAGCCCAGAGCCUGAAUCAGUGUGUGUGUUAGUGGAAGCGUCUGGAAAGGCGCGCGAUACAGGGUGACAGCCCCGUACACAAAAAUGCACAUGCUGUGAGCUCGAUGAGUAGGGCGGGACACGUGGUAUCCUGUCUGAAUAUGGGGGGACCAUCCUCCAAGGCUAAAUACUCCUGACUGACCGAUAGUGAACCAGUACCGUGAGGGAAAGGCGAAAAGAACCCCGGCGAGGGGAGUGAAAAAGAACCUGAAACCGUGUACGUACAAGCAGUGGGAGCACAGAGCAAUCUGUGUGACUGCGUACCUUUUGUAUAAUGGGUCAGCGACUUAUAUUCUGUAGCAAGGUUAACCGAAUAGGGGAGCCGAAGGGAAACCGAGUCUUAACUGGGCGUUAAGUUGCAGGGUAUAGACCCGAAACCCGGUGAUCUAGCCAUGGGCAGGUUGAAGGUUGGGUAACACUAACUGGAGGACCGAACCGACUAAUGUUGAAAAAUUAGCGGAUGACUUGUGGCUGGGGGUGAAAGGCCAAUCAAACCGGGAGAUAGCUGGUUCUCCCCGAAAGCUAUUUAGGUAGCGCCUCGUGAAUUCAUCUCCGGGGGUAGAGCACUGUUUCGGCAAGGGGGUCAUCCCGACUUACCAACCCGAUGCAAACUGCGAAUACCGGAGAAUGUUAUCACGGGAGACACACGGCGGGUGCUAACGUCCGUCGUGAAGAGGGAAACAACCCAGACCGCCAGCUAAGGUCCCAAAGUCAUGGUUAAGUGGGAAACGAUGUGGGAAGGCCCAGACAGCCAGGAUGUUGGCUUAGAAGCAGCCAUCAUUUAAAGAAAGCGUAAUAGCUCACUGGUCGAGUCGGCCUGCGCGGAAGAUGUAACGGGGCUAAACCAUGCACCGAAGCUGCGGCAGCGACGCUGAUGCGUUGUUGGGUAGGGGAGCGUUCUGUAAGCCUGUGAAGGUGUGCUGUGAGGCAUGCUGGAGGUAUCAGAAGUGCGAAUGCUGACAUAAGUAACGAUAAAGCGGGUGAAAAGCCCGCUCGCCGGAAGACCAAGGGUUCCUGUCCAACGUUAAUCGGGGCAGGGUGAGUCGACCCCUAAGGCGAGGCCGAAAGGCGUAGUCGAUGGGAAACAGGUUAAUAUUCCUGUACUUGGUGUUACUGCGAAGGGGGGACGGAGAAGGCUAUGUUGGCCGGGCGACGGUUGUCCCGGUUUAAGCGUGUAGGCUGGUUUUCCAGGCAAAUCCGGAAAACUAAGGCUGAGGCGUGAUGACGAGGCACUACGGUGCUGAAGCAACAAAUGCCCUGCUUCCAGGAAAAGCCUCUAAGCAUCAGGUAACAUCAAAUCGUACCCCAAACCGACACAGGUGGUCAGGUAGAGAAUACCAAGGCGCUUGAGAGAACUCGGGUGAAGGAACUAGGCAAAAUGGUGCCGUAACUUCGGGAGAAGGCACGCUGAUAUGUAGGUGAAGUCCCUCGCGGAUGGAGCUGAAAUCAGUCGAAGAUACCAGCUGGCUGCAACUGUUUAUUAAAAACACAGCACUGUGCAAACACGAAAGUGGACGUAUACGGUGUGACGCCUGCCCGGUGCCGGAAGGUUAAUUGAUGGGGUCAGCGCAAGCGAAGCUCUUGAUCGAAGCCCCGGUAAACGGCGGCCGUAACUAUAACGGUCCUAAGGUAGCGAAAUUCCUUGUCGGGUAAGUUCCGACCUGCACGAAUGGCGUAAUGAUGGCCAGGCUGUCUCCACCCGAGACUCAGUGAAAUUGAACUCGCUGUGAAGAUGCAGUGUACCCGCGGCAAGACGGAAAGACCCCGUGAACCUUUACUAUAGCUUGACACUGAACAUUGAGCCUUGAUGUGUAGGAUAGGUGGGAGGCUUUGAAGUGUGGACGCCAGUCUGCAUGGAGCCGACCUUGAAAUACCACCCUUUAAUGUUUGAUGUUCUAACGUUGACCCGUAAUCCGGGUUGCGGACAGUGUCUGGUGGGUAGUUUGACUGGGGCGGUCUCCUCCUAAAGAGUAACGGAGGAGCACGAAGGUUGGCUAAUCCUGGUCGGACAUCAGGAGGUUAGUGCAAUGGCAUAAGCCAGCUUGACUGCGAGCGUGACGGCGCGAGCAGGUGCGAAAGCAGGUCAUAGUGAUCCGGUGGUUCUGAAUGGAAGGGCCAUCGCUCAACGGAUAAAAGGUACUCCGGGGAUAACAGGCUGAUACCGCCCAAGAGUUCAUAUCGACGGCGGUGUUUGGCACCUCGAUGUCGGCUCAUCACAUCCUGGGGCUGAAGUAGGUCCCAAGGGUAUGGCUGUUCGCCAUUUAAAGUGGUACGCGAGCUGGGUUUAGAACGUCGUGAGACAGUUCGGUCCCUAUCUGCCGUGGGCGCUGGAGAACUGAGGGGGGCUGCUCCUAGUACGAGAGGACCGGAGUGGACGCAUCACUGGUGUUCGGGUUGUCAUGCCAAUGGCACUGCCCGGUAGCUAAAUGCGGAAGAGAUAAGUGCUGAAAGCAUCUAAGCACGAAACUUGCCCCGAGAUGAGUUCUCCCUGACUCCUUGAGAGUCCUGAAGGAACGUUGAAG